GAUGAACGCUGGCGGCGUGCUUAACACAUGCAAGUCGAGCGAAGCAGUUAAGGAGAUUCUUCGGAUGAUUCUUAACUGACUGAGCGGCGGACGGGUGAGUAACGCGUGGGUGACCUGCCCCAUACCGGGGGAUAACAGCUGGAAACGGCUGCUAAUACCGCAUAAGCGCACAGAGCUGCAUGGCUCGGUGUGAAAAACUCCGGUGGUAUGGGAUGGGCCCGCGUCUGAUUAGGCAGUUGGCGGGGUAACGGCCCACCAAACCGACGAUCAGUAGCCGGCCUGAGAGGGCGACCGGCCACAUUGGGACUGAGACACGGCCCAAACUCCUACGGGAGGCAGCAGUGGGGAAUAUUGCACAAUGGGGGAAACCCUGAUGCAGCGACGCCGCGUGAGCGAAGAAGUAUUUCGGUAUGUAAAGCUCUAUCAGCAGGGAAGAUAAUGACGG
rnacentral:rRNA from 1 species